ACCUGGGAUAGCUAGGUUGGUAGAGCAUGAGACUCAAAAUAUCAGGGUUGUGGGUUUGAGCCCCAUGUUGGGCA